AUUCUGUCAAGAUGAUGCAAAGUAGUCACGAAGUUAAUUUUAGAAUAAAAAUAGAAUCAUUAAACAAGCUUGUGAUAAUUUUAGCUUGUGUUGUUAACGCAGAAAACGAGUAAAGAAACACAAUCAACAUAUCUAAGUUGUGUAUGCCUCAUCGUAUGGGUAGCAAACUUAUAAUAGAUAUUAUUUACGAACUGAUAAAUAAAUCACGAAACCCUACAAGGAAACCUCCUUUUUGUAUGAAAGAUCUUAUAGUACUUCUUUUUGUUGUUAAGGGAGGCAAAGGUAGUAAUCCACCAAACAUGAUAACUAUCUUCUUUGAGACUCGUAAAAAGGGAAAUGAGCUUUUUUUUAAAAAAAAUCAAUUUUGAGCUCAGGGCUCAUUUUAUUUCAUAAGUAACAAAAUUCUGGAAAAAACAACUAAAAAACAAACUAAAAUAAAAAAAAAUAACAACACAUAAAAAGAAAUACAUCUACUCUGUCCACCUAGCCCAAAAUGUCCCUAUCCUCUUCUAUUUCUAACCCUACACUAUCAUUACUUUCCCUUUUCUUGUUAAAUGUUCCGCUUCCUCGAAUGUUCUCUCCAUUGUGAGCUCUAAUCCUCAACAUUAAUUCCUCAUCAUUUGAAGACAAUCAGAAAAAGUUGGUACUUUAUGGAUUCGGCCAUGUUCUUUCAACUUUGUCAACAUUUGAAGAAUCACAUCUUUUCCUUUGUGAAUUCUAAGUUAUUCCUUCACCUCUUAAGGAUACCUCCAUGUAUUCUCUGGAUCUUCUUUUUUUCGUGAAUUCAAAAGCUAGUCAUGAGGUAAAGACGUGUCUGGCUCUCGAGAGGUUCCUCUGGCUGAAAUUCAAGAGCUUGUAUAAUCUGAACCGUCUCUUACUAAUAUUGAGGUAGUGGAAUAGUGCUUUGGACCUCAAUGCAAAAGUCAUGCAGUUAGAUUUGGUGGUGGGAUAACCACUAAGGAGUUGAAAGGAGGUAGUACUUCUAAGGCUGUGUUGUUGGAAGAACUGAAAACAACUCAAAAAGAAAAGGAAUCACUGCAAUUGUGUAUUGAUAUUCUAGAGAGUAAAUAUGAUCGCCUUGAAAAUAUUGUGGUUCAUCAGCAUCCAUCACCUCCACUAUGUUAGGAAACUUUUCAUUAGCUAUGCCAUGAUGUGUAUUUCUCAAUGAAUUUAGUGAUGUCAUUAACAAGUGCUCAUCUUUGAUAAGGGUUUUGCUAAUGCAGUGGUCUGUCUUUCUAUGAUAAGUUGAUUUUAGAGAGUAGGCAGUCUUCAGUUGUACUACUUUCCAUGAUGAACGAGUUUACAUGCUUAUAGAAUUAUGUAUAUCUCUGUCUCAAUCAGGAUGUAUUCCUAUAUUCUGAACUGAGUUUCUUUUUUGCAUGUU